CCUACGGGUGGCUGCAGUGGGGAAUAUUGCACAAUGGGCGAAAGCCUGAUGCAGCAACGCCGCGUGAGCGAUGAAGGCCUUCGGGUUGUAAAGCUCUGUCUUCGCUGACGAUAAUGACGGUAAGCGAGGAGGAAGCCACGGCUAACUACGUGCCAGCAGCCGCGGUAAUACGUAGGUGGCAAGCGUUGUCCGGAAUUACUGGGCGUAAAGAAUGCGUAGGCGGCUUUUUAAGUGGGAUGUGAAAUCCCUGGGCUCAACCCAGGAACUGCAUUCCA
rnacentral:rRNA from 1 species